UACAGAGGGUGCGAGCGUUAAUCGGAAUUACUGGGCGUAAAGCGCGCGUAGGCGGCUUUGCAAGUCGGGUGUGAAAUCCCCAGGCUUAACCUGGGAACUGCAUUCGAGACUGCAUUGCUAGAGUAUGGGAGAGGGAAGUGGAAUUUCCGGUGUAGCGGUGAAAUGCGUAGAUAUCGGAAGGAACAUCAGUGGCGAAAGCGACUUCCUGGACCAAUACUGACGCUCAUGUGCGAAAGCGUGGGGAGCAAACAGGAUUAGAUACCCGGUAGUCC
rnacentral:rRNA from 1 species